rnacentral:rRNA from 1 species
AGAGUUUGAUCCUGGCUCAGAUUGAACGCUGGCGGCAGGCCUAACACAUGCAAGUCGAGCGGUAACACAGAGGAGCUUGCUCCUUGGGUGACGAGCGGCGGACGGGUGAGUAAUGCCUGGGGAUCUGCCCGAUAGAGGGGGAUAACUACGGGAAACUGUAGCUAAUACCGCAUAAUGUCUACGGACCAAAGUGGGGGCUCUUCGGACCUCAUGCUAUCGGAUGAACCCAGGUGGGAUUAGCUAGUUGGUGAGGUAAUGGCUCACCAAGGCGACGAUCUCUAACUGGUUUGAGAGAAUGACCAGUCACACUGGAACUGAGACACGGUCCAGACUCCUACGGGAGGCAGCAGUGGGGAAUAUUGCACAAUGGGCGCAAGCCUGAUGCAGCCAUGCCGCGUGUGUGAAGAAGGCCUUCGGGUUGUAAAGCACUUUCAGCGGGGAGGAAGGGCUACUAGUUAAUACCUAGUGGCAUUGACGUUACUCGCAGAAGAAGCACCGGCUAACUCCGUGCCAGCAGCCGCGGUAAUACGGAGGGUGCAAGCGUUAAUCGGAACUACUGGGCGUAAAGCGCACGCAGGCGGUUUGUUAAGUCAGAUGUGAAAUCCCCGAGCUCAACUUGGGAACUGCAUUUGAAACUGGCAAGCUAGAGUCUUGUAGAGGGGGGUAGAAUUCCAGGUGUAGCGGUGAAAUGCGUAGAGAUCUGGAGGAAUACCGGUGGCGAAGGCGGCCCCCUGGACAAAGACUGACGCUCAGGUGCGAAAGCGUGGGGAGCAAACAGGAUUAGAUACCCCGGUAGUCCAA